AUUCAGCUGACGAGUCCUAGAUAGAGCGAAACGCGCGUCCUGGAU
rnacentral:hammerhead_ribozyme from 1 species